rnacentral:rRNA from 1 species
GACGAACGCUGGCGGCGUGCUUAACACAUGCAAGUCGAACGGAAAGGCCCUGCUUUUGUGGGGUGCUCGAGUGGCGAACGGGUGAGUAACACGUGAGUAACCUGCCCUUGACUUUGGGAUAACUUCAGGAAACUGGGGCUAAUACCGGAUAGGAGCUCCUGCUGCAUGGUGGGGGUUGGAAAGUUUCGGCGGUUGGGGAUGGACUCGCGGCUUAUCAGCUUGUUGGUGGGGUAGUGGCUUACCAAGGCUUUGACGGGUAGCCGGCCUGAGAGGGUGACCGGCCACAUUGGGAAUGAGAUACGGACCAGACGCCGACGGGAGGCAGCAGUGGGGAAUAUUGCACAAUGGGCGGAAGCCUGAUGCAGCAACGCCGCGUGCGGGAUGACGGCCUUCGGGUUGUAAACCGAUUUCGCCUGUGACGAAGCGUGAGUGACGGUAAUGGGUAAAGAAGCACCGGCUAACUACGU